AGGUCGAAUAGGACAUGCAUGCAUCACGAUUAUGUUGGAGGUAUGCCCUAGAGGCAAUCAUAGAGAUGAUGAUAUCUGAUUGUAUCUAUGAUUUGUAUAUUGUGUUCAUUAAAUAUCCAUUAAAUGCUACUUGAAUUGAUCUGCAGUUAUGUGAAUUGUAUGUGGAACUCUUUACUUGUAUGGUUAUUCUAAAAGUUGUCCCUAGUUGGAGUUCAUGUGUGGACACACAUGAAUAUUAGACUAGUACAUUUAUUAGUUGAUGACUAUGUUUCACAAGUCAUGGAUACGGAGAUGUCAAACUAAUAAUGUAGGCAUAUGUAGAGACAUGUGCUAGGACUGACCCAACACGAG
rnacentral:lncRNA from 1 species